GUUCCAUUGGCGCAGUUGGUUAGCGCGUGGUACUUAUAAUUCCGAGGUCGGGAGUUCGAUCCUCCCAUGGAGCA
rnacentral:tRNA from 1 species